rnacentral:rRNA from 1 species
GAUGAACGCUGGCGGCGUGCCUAAUACAUGCAAGUCGAGCGAACAGAUGAGGAGCUUGCUCCUCUGACGUUAGCGGCGGACGGGUGAGUAACACGUGGAUAACCUACCUAUAAGACUGGGAUAACUUCGGGAAACCGGAGCUAAUACCGGAUAAUAUAUUGAACCGCAUGGUUCAAUAGUGAAAGACGGUUUUGCUGUCACUUAUAGAUGGAUCCGCGCCGCAUUAGCUAGUUGGUAAGGUAACGGCUUACCAAGGCAACGAUGCGUAGCCGACCUGAGAGGGUGAUCGGCCACACUGGAACUGAGACACGGUCCAGACUCCUACGGGAGGCAGCAAUAGGGAAUCUUCCGCAAUGGGCGAAAGCCUGACGGAGCAACGCCGCGUGAGUGAUGAAGGUCUUCGGAUCGUAAAGCUCUGUUAUUAGGGAAGAACAAAUGUGUAAGUAACUAUGCACGUCUUGACGGUACCUAAUCAGAAAGCCACGGCUAACUACGUG